rnacentral:rRNA from 3 species
CCAGACAGCCAGGAUGUUGGCUUAGAAGCAGCCAUCAUUUAAAGAAAGCGUAAUAGCUCACUGGUCGAGUCGGCCUGCGCGGAAGAUGUAACGGGGCUAAACCAUGCACCGAAGCUGCGGCAGCGACACUCAGGUGUUGUUGGGUAGGGGAGCGUUCUGUAAGCCUGUGAAGGUGUGUCGUGAGGCAUGCUGGAGGUAUCAGAAGUGCGAAUGCUGACAUAAGUAACGAUAAAGCGGGUGAAAAGCCCGCUCGCCGGAAGACCAAGGGUUCCUGUCCAACGUUAAUCGGGGCAGGGUGAGUCGACCCCUAAGGC